AACGAACGCUGGCGGCGUGGAUAAGACAUGCAAGUCGAACGAGAGAAUUGCUAGCUUGCUAAUAAUUCUCUAGUGGCGCACGGGUGAGUAACACGUGAGUAACCUGCCCCCGAGAGCGGGAUAGCCCUGGGAAACUGGGAUUAAUACCGCAUAGUAUCGAAAGAUUAAAGCAGCAAUGCGCUUGGGGAUGGGCUCGCGGCCUAUUAGUUAGUUGGUGAGGUAACGGCUCACCAAGGCGAUGACGGGUAGCCGGUCUGAGAGGAUGUCCGGCCACACUGGAACUGAGACACGGUCCAGACACCUACGGGUGGCAGCAGUCGAGAAUCAUUCACAAUGGGGGAAACCCUGAUGGUGCGACGCCGCGUGGGGGAAUGAAGGUCUUCGGAUUGUAAACCCCUGUCAUGUGGGAGCAAAUUAAAAAGAUAGUACCACAAGAGGAAGAGACGGCUAACUCUGUGCCAGCAGCCGCGGUAAUACAGAGGUCUCAAGCGUUGUUCGGAAUCACUGGGCGUAAAGCGUGCGUAGGCUGUUUCGUAAGUCGUGUGUGAAAGGCGCGGGCUCAACCCGCGGACGGCACAUGAUACUGCGAGACUAGAGUAUUGGAGGGGGAACCGGAAUUCUCGGUGUAGCAGUGAAAUGCGUAGAUAUCGAGAGGAACACUCGUGGCGAAGGCGGGUUCCUGGACAUUAACUGACGCUGAGGCACGAAGGCCAGGGGAGCGAAAAAGAUUCGAUACCCCUGUAGUCCUGGCAGUAAACGGU
rnacentral:rRNA from 1 species